rnacentral:rRNA from 1 species
AACGUAGGUGGCGAGCGUUAUCCGGAUUUACUGGGCGUAAAGGGUGUGCAGGCGGGUCAUUAAGUGGUGUAUGAAAUCGCCCGGCUCAACCGGGCGAGGUUAUGCCAGACUGGUGGUCUAGAGAGCGAGAGAGGGACGUGGAAUUCCGGGUGUAGUGGUGAAAUGCGCAGAUAUCAGGAGGAACACCAAUGGCGAAGGCAGCUCGCUGGAACGGUACUGACGCUGAGGCGCGAAAGCGUGGGGGAGCAAACAGG